rnacentral:ncRNA from 1 species
UAUUUCCGUUGGGGGUGGCGCACCUGAUCGCCUGAGAUUAUACCCCCUCGACCUGAUCCGGAUAAUACCGGCGUAGGGAAACGGGAUUGAGCGACA